GCCUUUCAGCCAAACCCCAAAACAAGUAUUUGAAGGUGAUGCCUGCCCGGUGACUCUGUUUAACGGCCGCGGUAUCCUAACCGUGCAAAGGUAGCGCAAUCAAUUGUCCCAUAAAUCGAGACUAGUAUGAAUGGCUAAACGAGGUCUUAACUGUCUCUUACAGGCAAUCGGUGAAAUUGAUCUUCCUGUACGGGAAGCAGGAAUAACCCCAUAAGACGAGAAGACCCUGUGGAACUUUAAAACCAGCAACCACCUUAAAACACACAUCCCCCCACUGGGCUCACUGCCAAAUAAGUCGCUGGUCUGCGUUUUUCGGUUGGGGCGACCUUGGAGUAAAACAAAGCCUCCAAAAAUUAGACCACACCUCUAGACCGAGAGCAACCCCUCAACGUGCUAACAGCACCCAGACCCAAUAUAAUUGAUCGAUGGACCAAGCUACCCCAGGGAUAACAGCGCAAUCUCCUCCGAGAGUCCGUAUCGACGAGGAGGUUUACGACCUCGAUGUUGGAUCAGGACAUCCUAGUGGUGCAGCCGCUACUAAGGGUUCGUUUGUUCAACGAUUAACAGUCUU
rnacentral:rRNA from 1 species